GAUGAACGCUGGCGGCGUGCCUAACACAUGCAAGUCGAGCGACCGGACGAGAAGCUCUCUUCUCUGAUGUUAGCGGCGGACGGGUGAGUAACACGUGCAUAACCUACCUAUAAGACUGGGAUAACUUCGGGAAACCGGAUCUAAUACCGGAUAAUAUUUUGAACCGCAUGGUUCAAAAGUGAAAGACGGUCUUGCUGUCACUUAUAGAUGGUUCCGCGCUGCAUUAGCUAGUUGGUAAGGUAACGGCUUACCAAGGCAACGAUGCAUAGCCGACCUGAGAGGAUGAUCGGCCACACUGGAACUGAGACACGGUCCAGACUCCUACGGGAGGCAGCAGUGGGGAAUAUUCCACAAUGGGCGCAAGCCUGACGCAGCAACGCCGCGUGAGUGAAGAAGGUCUUCGGGUCGUAAAACUCUGUUAUUAGGGAAGAAAAGAUGUGUAAGAAAAUGUGCAGAUCUUGACGGUACCUAAAGAAAAAGCACCGGCUAACUACGUG
rnacentral:rRNA from 1 species